GUCCCGACGCUUCGGUAUAGCUCUCCCCUCCAUCGUUGCCGUUGACCAAUUUCUCCCAUUUUCCCAAAUCUGGUUUCAUUUGCUUUUCUAAAGCCCGCACCGUUUGAAUAACCGUCUCGCUGCUAAUUCCGCUGUUAAGCAGCGCUGCUAAUAGUUCUGCUUGUAGUUCUGUGACAGUUGCCAUUCUACAAUAUAUAGUAUCCUGUGCUAUACAGCCUUGCUUGGAAGUUUAUAUAUGCAGCAUGAGGGAAUAUAUG
rnacentral:lncRNA from 1 species